AAGAAAAAAAAACCCACUCCCGAUCCCAUCGCUCCCAACCUCCUGCCCCCGCCCCAGAUUCCCCUCACCCCGCGCCGCCGCAUGAUCUCCCCGGGGCCCCCGCCUCCGCGCGAGCUUCCCGGCCCCCCUGCUACCGCGCGACCUCCGUCGCCAUGGCCGACCACCUUCUCCCGCCGCUCCGGCCACACGCCUCCUUCUCGCACCGCCACAUCCACCCGCCGGCGCAACCAUCUUCUUCCCAGAUCACGGCGCGCUGCCGCCCCAUCCAACCAUCCCCACGCGACUCAACCGCCCCACCCCGCCAUCCACGCGCGCCGCUGCCGCCCCACCCCGCCAUCCCCGAGCGACGUCGCUGCCCCACCCCGCCAUCCACGCGCGCCGCUGCCGCCCCACCCCGGCAUCCCCGAGCGACGCCGCCGCCCCACCCCGCCAUCCCCUAGCGGCGCCGCUGCCCCACCCCGCGACUCUGGUGGAUCUCCAGGGAGGUGACAUUCUCGCUACAGCUGACUUGACCUCCGCAAAAAAAGUUUCUCCCUCAAGCGGCGUUCUUGUCGCGUCCACAGGAGUUGAGCUGGAGCGUCUCGGUGGACGAGGAGCAUGACGAUGCAGCCACCGGCCUCCUACCACAGCAAGCGACCGCCGCGGCCAUCCUCCACCUGCCGCUGUAGCCUUCCUCCCCGACCGCCUCCACGACACGCUGGCCUUCGUCUACCUCUGCUCCGCUGCUGCCCAAGGCUGUGUGCGCGAUGGCGGCCCAUGUCGUUUAUCGUCCUGGUUGCGUACGCGUUGACGAGUGAUGCCCCGAUCCAGCUCCUCCAUCCUACAGCCACGGCAAGUCCAAAAGAAAGACAUUCAGUCUAGCAAGCCAAAUGGUUGACCACCAACCCACGCGUGGAUUGGCCCUGACCUGCAGCUGGAGGAGGCCGCGACCUUCAGCUGUAGGAGACGUCGACCUGCAGCUGGAGGAGGCCCCGACCUUCAGCUGUUAAUUUUGAGGAACUAGCUACUCUGAUAAUCUAACUUGACACCGUAUUUGUUUUUGUUCUUCAUAAGUUCAGGCAACUAGGUUGCUAACUAGGAAAACCUUCUCUGGUUGUGCUAACUAGUACGUACUACUAAACUAUAAUAAUCUUGUGAAGUGGAUAAUGCUCGUGCCCCUGGACGCUGGCCAUGUGAGAUUUUGAUGGCUUCGUACUUUUGUUAUUUGAUUUUUGAAUAACAGAAGUUCUCUUCUUUGUCUGUAGAAAACCCCAGUAUGUCACAUUUGUUUGUCGUUAUCCUCUGAAAAAUGGCAUUGUUGCAGGUUAGCUUCGCCUGAUGCGUUAGUUCAGUUUCAUAGUGCACGAUAGGCAUGAUCCAGUAACCAUGGCAUUCCAUCCCCACAACCCGCCGCUGGCCGUCAACCCAACCGCCGCUGUCCCCGGCCACCACACUAGCACUGCCGCUCCUGCGUCUCCGACCACAUUGACCUUCUCGUGAGGGCCACCUUGACCUUCCCAAUGAAGGUUCAUCCAGGGAGUGGACGCUCCCGCCACUCCACCGCCGCGUCGUGCCUGGCUCGUUGCACGUCUCCGCCCUCUGUCACCAGUGCGCUGCCACCGCAUAGAGCUUCCAGCACACUGCCUUGGCCUGCCCUUCCAACGCCAAGCUUCCCUUGUGCGACGUCGGCUACCACUCGUGGCAGAGCGGCUACUUCCCUCCCCGCUGUGCCAGCAGCUAGCGGCCAUUCGCCCCCUGGCCUGUUCUUGCUUCGUUGUCUUCAGAAAAUUUCAGAAAAACUAACUGAACUCAUAUGUUGUUUCAUCAAAAUUACUGUGGAUUUGUACUACUGAUUACUAAAAAGUUCAGAAACGAUUCUCCCACAAACAGAAGUUCAGGUCGCUGUUUGUUGUUAGUUCAGAAUGUCCGGCGGUCGCGGAUCCGGUGGUGCUUGACUGCAGUGAGCCGUCCACGCGGGCACAGCAUCCGAUGGAAGCCGAGUCAAUUGUAGCCAACGCGAGGAGGGGUUAGUAUAGCUGUCUGUGGAGUUCAUAUCCAUACAUGGCGUGCUCUUGGUGGAAUCGGCCAACAUGAAUUUGCUACAGGUUAAUACAACAAGCAAUUCACUUGAGUAGUCCCUUUAACUUGUAGUUGUUGUUGUCAACUCUAGUCAUUCGCUUCUGCAAAAAGUGCUGAUCUUUUUCCUAUUGCGUGAGUAGCUUAGUGGUGGUGGCUUUGGAGAUGGAUGAGAACAAAGGUGUGUGUGUGUGGUAGAAAAAAGGGUCCACGAAACUUGUAUUUUCUUCAUAUAUACUCUGGUUAUUUUGGUCGUUGGACUAUGGAUGUUUACGACAUUGGACUGCUCUGAUUUUAUUGAACAUAUAAAAAAAUGGAA